rnacentral:piRNA from 1 species
UAGUACAGAGGCCUUUCGUGCCUUUGAAAU